ACGGGUCUUUUGCUGCGUGCGGUGGUGGAGGUGUGAGAUGUUGGAAUAAUAGGCACACGACAAGGUCUUACACAGUCAGCCACAGCCAAUGGGAAAACGUGUUACACCUGUGAUUCCAAUUCCAACUGCUCGAAAACAGUGAACUGUAUGGGGAGUGAAGAUCGCUGCAUCAGUGCUACAGUUGAACAAGGUGGCAACAAAAUUGCCAUGAAAGGAUGUGCAAGCAAGAUUGUCUGCGAUGGCGCCUCAGGAAGCACUCAGCAGGGGAUUACUAUGAACUGUUGUGAGGGGAACCUGUGUAAUGGAGGUUGUGAUGGGAACCUGUGUAACAGAACUGAGAUGUUUACUCUGAGUUUCCUGAUCCUGGUGGUUUCUCUGCUCUCCUCCAUCCUCCUCCACUGAGCGCUCACUUUCAUUAAAGUUUAAUCUACUGUAAAAAUUUAUUUAGAGUAAUAUGUAACAGGGCAGUUAUAGCCUAGCGGUUAAGGUACUGCACUAGUAAUCAGAAGGUUGCUGGUUCAAGCCCCACCACCGCCAGGUUGCCACUGUUGAAUUGCUUCGACUGUAUACUGUCACAGUACUGUAAGUUGUUUUGGAUAAAAGCGUCUGCUAAAUGCUAAAAAUGUAAAUGUAGAAUUAAUAAAUAAAUAAAGAAUUUCCUCCCAAGAGGAUUUUCUCUU